AAUGCCCAGUACAAGGUUGACACCGCGGGCCCCAGGUUGCCAUUCUCUAUAUUUUCCUUCCUUUGUCCUAUUUGGUUUCUGAAGUUAAAUGGUCUCUUUUUUGAUAUGAAAAUUAAUUUCUGGACAAAAAGAAAUAUGCCUGCACAGGGGCCAAAUUUGUGUUGUCUCCCAGCACGGCUGUAAUUACACUGUAGAUCAAACUGACGCCUUAGUUUUCAGUGGCUUUUUUCCCUCUCCGAUGUCCCUGAAGUUGCCAGGCUCACCAAGAGCAGCAGUUUUCAUUAGCAGCAAAGCCAGGGGAUGGGGAUGGAUGGCCGGGGCCAGCCCUCACUCCUGGGUUUCUCUCCUCAAAUUCUUCUUUUGGAUGGACAUGUGCAAUCCAGGCCAAUGCAGAGAACUGCAGGACUCAGGGUCCUGAGUUGCUUGCCACAGUGUGGGGGUGAAUGGCGGUGGCUCUGGGGUACCCCUCAUCCUAUGGGUUUCACCCUGUGGAACAGGCACUACCAGGCUUCUCUUUUAAGUGUCAGACACAAGAAGGGUCUCACACAUUUCCCAUGGUCUCUACACAUUUCCCAUUACCUUUGUGCCCAGCAGAAAUCUGUGUUCACCUGCUAAAAAUGGUCACUGUGAAUUAGUAUCAAGCUAAGAACUUGUGAAAUAGGGCAGAACCAAUGCAAAAUUUUCCGGAGUCAUGAAAGUGAAGUGGCUUUUACACUGCAUUCAAUAUUGUGAGUUCUAGAGGAAUUUUCAGGGAAACUGUGGCUCCCUUCUUAUCCUAACUUUCAUAGUCAAUUCUCGAUUGCCCAUACAUAGCUCCACUAUUGUUUGUUGGGUAUAAUUAGACACUAUGUUCUGUGGCCCUCAGGUGGACAUCUAUGCUUUGCCAAUAAGCCAUGAAUUACUCCCCAGAGAAGCUUAUGUGAUUUUGACAUCUACAAGGUGAAUGCAAACUAUUUAUUCACAAUGUGAUGGGCAUUCCUUCAAUUUCCCUAUAAUAUGUUGAAUGUAAAUGAUUUGUACGUGGAGAGAGGAGUGCUUGGUCAGACUUCAUAUGUCAGAAAGUCAACCUGGGUGGUGUGAACAACUCCCGUCAAAUGAGUCAAAGCCCCAGAAUGAGAUUCUAUGGUCUCUUGGAUUGAACUUGGGGCCAAGGGAUGUGGGCUUUGAUCCCUGCAGCUUUGUCACUGGCCCUGAGUGGCCAUUCAUCUAAUUUUUCCAUCUGCCAAGUGAAGCAACAAUCCCUCCCACUGCCAAGCUUACAGUCACAUUAUAAAGAUGAUUGAGAUUCCAUGCCUCAGUGGACUUCAGGAGGAAAAGUGUUACCCUCUAAAUCCUUCCUCACACUCCCACACCCACAAGUUUUCUUUUUUUUUUUUUAAAGAGUCCAGUGUUAAUAGUGUUUUGACUGCUUUCAAGAUAUCAAAACAGCUUUUGUUGGAAUGAAAUAAACAAAAGAAGAUGGGUUUUGGAACAGAGCAUUUUAAGGUUCAAAUUUCAACUUUAUCACGUAUGAGUAUUAUAAGUCAGUUACUCACACUCUUGGAACUUUAUUUUCCUCAUCUGAAAAGUGAGGAUAAUAAUGGCUCCCUUGAAAGGCCGCAGGGAUAAUGAGCUGCCAUUAUUGCAUCAGUGCAAUUCCAGCAUAGUGAGAAAGGUUUGUGUCUCUUAGCUGCUUUCUGACCGGAUGGCAAGCCUCUCCUCACCCCACACUGGCCGCCGUUGGCAUACCUAUGUGCAUGCUCUGUCCUCCGCGGUUCCUGUGGAGAACUCUAAAAGUCAGGGAAGCUCAGUGCCACGUUUUGGAACUUGUCAGCCAUAGAGCAACCUACCUAUUUACUUCCAGUGGAUGAAUGGGAAGGUAUUGCUGUAUCACAUAAGGACUCUCCUAGGGAGGGCAGUGUUAGCAGCAUGAAAAGAGGGACAUUCCAGUGUCACACAAAGUCCCAGAUGGGAAACGGCAGUUGCCAAAGGCAGCCUGAAGUGCUGCGUUCUCUUCGCUCUUCAAAUGCAGACAGGUCUAUAGCAGCAGCUUGAAGAUGAAGACCCUGGAAAACCAUGAGCAAGGGGGCCUCAAAAUGACAGGGAAACACCAACAAUGAGGAGGGAGCUAAACGCACAGUCUCUUACACCCAGGAGUGUGAUUAUCUGACAUUUUGGUUUAAUGAAAAAAUCAAUAGUUUUGGAGCCAAGCGUGGGUUUGAAGCUUCGCUCUGACACUUUACUGCGCAGAUUGCUGAGUAAGUUACUUUGGUCACCGACUCUCAGUUUUCUUAUUUACAAUACUGGGAUAAUGCCUCACUCGCAGGGCUGAUGAAUGAGAUCACAGUGGUGUGGUGGAAAGCAUGGGCUACGUUGUAAGAGUGUAUUCAAUUCCCAGCCUCACUGGUUACACUUCUGGGUCUUUAGGAGAGCUGCCGGCAUCCAUGUGCCUCGAUUUCCACAUUGUAAAAUAAGGGUAAUAACUGUUGCCUGUCUCAAGGGGUGUUGUGAGGGUUAUGUAUGGAGCACAUAAGGAGUCUAAGGUGCACAAAAUGAAUACUCACAAUGAACGCUCAACAAAUAGUUCCAUUUUUAAAUUAAUAAAUGGCUGUUAGUAAUAUUAUUAUUUUAUUAGUUUUAGCUUAUUAUCCACAAAAUAGUUCUUACCUACUAAUUGGACAAGGGUAGGACACUAAUUAAACGAUGUGUGUCAUUUUUGAUGGCUCACACUAAAAUCCAUAGAAAAGUGUUUAUUUUCUUCAAUUUUUUUUCUUGACUCUGGGGUUUCUGUCCUUCUAAUCCAUGAGUCUCUCUCUGUCUCUGUCUGGGGUUUCUGUCCUUCUAAUCCAUGAGUCUCUCUCUGUCUCUGUCUGUCUCCUUCUUUCCUCUCCAUGCAGUAAAACAGAGCUGCAGGCAGUCAAUUUCGAGUCAGUGGGCUGUGAAAAGCAGUUAGAAUAAUAGUUUAUUGACCCUGAAUGUGGCAGCUGGAACUGAGGGUCGGCUGGGCUCAGGCACAGUGUAAUGGUCACAAUAGAAGUUUGAUCAUCUUUGAUCAUUUCCUUGGACUUUAAGAGAGAAGGUGUUGCCAGGCAUGGUGGCUCACGCCUGUAAUCCCAGCACUUUGGGAGGCCGAGGCGUACAGAUCACAGGUCAGGAGUUUCAGACUAGCCCGACCAACAUGGUAAAACCCCGUCUCUGCUAAAACUAGAAAAAUUAACCGGGCAUGGUGGCAAGUGCCUGUAAUCCCAGCUACUUGGGAGGCUGAGGCAGGAGAAUUGUUUGAACCCGGGAGGCGGAGGCUGCAGUGAGAAGAGAUUGCACCACUGCACUCCAGCCUGGGCAACAGAGCAAGACCCCGUUGAGAGAGAGAGAGAGAGAGAGAGAGAGAGAGAGAGAGAGAGAGAGAUGUUUUUUGGAGCCUGGGAGCACCUCCAAAUAGCCCAAGUCCAGGGGCGGUAGCCUACCCAGAAGGGGCUGGGUUUGGUUGGAAGGAGAUAAGUGGAGGAGGGCAGGAUGAGGGCCUGAGUUCUGUACCACUUGUGGGAGUGGAGCCUUCAUCACUGGGGGUCUGAGUGCCUGAGCACGAGGGAUGCUGAUCCCCAUUUCAAAUGUGUCCCAAGCAUAGACAUGCGCUCUGUUUUCUCAGAUUACCUUUGGAAGCUGGACUUUUCUCCUAAGCACUGCAGUGAUAUGCCUUCUUAUUCACUCUGGUGAUCAUGGAUUUUCCGGUAGAAAUGUAAUUAUAAAUAAAAAGUACAUCUUCAAACUACUUUAAUACUUCCAUAUUAGAAGCAAUUUGUUUGUAAGUGGAAUUAUUAAUAAAAACAUAGUUGAAAGCAGAGACUAAGGAAAUUCAAAGAGAAAGAGGAGAACAUGAAUAUAUAAAUAAAGGAUGGCCUAUAUUUUUACAUAAUUUGUGAAUUAAAAAAUAGAAAUGUAUUGUCAUAGACUGUAUAAACUCAUGCUUCCUUCGAUAGCUCAGCUGGUAGAGCAGAGGACUGUCGAAGACACGGAAUCAACCUAAACGUCCAUCAGUGGUAGAUUGGAUAAAGAAAAUGUGGUACAUACGCACCAUAGAAUACUAUGUAGCCAUAAUAAGGACUGAGAUCAUGUCCUUUGCCGGACCAUCAAUGGAGCUGGAGGCCAUUAUCCUUAGCAAGCUAACACAGGAACAGAAAACCAAAUACCGCAUGUUUUCACGUAUGAGUAGGAGCUAAAUGAUGAGAACACAGAGACACAGAAGAGAACAACACACACUGGGGCCUAUUGGAGGGUGGAGGCUGGGAGGUGGGUGAGGACCAGGAAAAAUAACUAAUGGAUACCAGGCUUAAUACCUGGGUGUUGAAGUAAUCUGUACAACCAAUCCCCAUGACACAAGUUUACCUAUGUAACAGAGCUGUGCAUGCACCCCUGAACUU
rnacentral:lncRNA from 1 species